UAUUUCCUAGGGUGCACGAAUACUCAACAUUUUGAACCUACAAAGUAUAUAAGGGAGUUUGUUGAUUUAAAGCAGAUGUCAGGCCUCAAGCUAAUUCCUAUAGCAAUAUAGGCAGUGGAAGGCAGAAACUUUAGUACAGACACCCACCUAGCAUAGGCUAGGGUCAAAAUCAAGAGAACGACAUUUUGGGAUAUAU
rfam:Clostridiales bacterium GWD2_32_59 gwd2_scaffold_170, whole genome shotgun sequence.